AUCUGUUAAUAUACCUAUCCUGAACUCCAAUUUCUGUUCUGUUGAAAAAACUUAAAAGGAUCUGGCUUCUGAAGU
ensembl:snoRNA